rnacentral:rRNA from 1 species
AGAGUUUGAUCCUGGCUCAGGAUGAACGCUAGCGGCAGGCUUAAUACAUGCAAGUCGUGGGGCAGCAUGAGUAGCAAUACUUGAUGGCGACCGGCAAACGGGUGCGGAACACGUACACAACCUUCCUAUAAGUGGGGAAUAGCCCAGAGAAAUUUGGAUUAAUACCCCGUAACAUAACGAUAUGGCAUCAUAUUGUUAUUAUAGCUUCGGCGCUUAUUGAUGGGUGUGCGGCUGAUUAGAUAGUUGGCGGGGUAACGGCCCACCAAGUCUACGAUCAGUAKCUGAUGUGAGAGCAUGAUCAGYCACACGGGCACUGAGACACGGGCCCGACUYCUAC